rnacentral:rRNA from 1 species
CCUACGGGAGGCAGCAGUGGGGAAUAUUGGACAAUGGGCGAAAGCCUGAUCCAGCCAUGCCGCGUGAGUGAUGAAGGCCUUAGGGUUGUAAAGCUCUUUCAGUGGGGAAGAUAAUGACGGUACCCACAGAAGAAGCCCCGGCUAACUUCGUGCCAGCAGCCGCGGUAAU